rnacentral:rRNA from 1 species
UACGUAGGGUGCAAGCGUUAAUCGGAAUUACUGGGCGUAAAGCGUGCGCAGGCGGUUGUGCAAGACAGAUGUGAAAUCCCCGGGCUCAACCUGGGAAUGGCAUUGGAAACUGGCUCGCUGGAGUGUGGCAGAGGGGGGUGGAAUUCCGCGUGUAGCAGUGAAAUGCGUAGAGAUGCGGAGGAACACCGAUGGCGAAGGCAGCCCCCCUGGGCUAACACUGACGCUCAGGCACGAAAGCGUGGGGAGCAAACAGG